rnacentral:rRNA from 1 species
AUUGAACGCUGGCGGCAGGCCUAACACAUGCAAGUCGAGCGAGAGGGGGGCGGGUGGGUAAUGUAUGGGGACUGCCCGAUCGGGGGGGAUAACUCCUGGAAACGGUGGCUAAUACCGCCUCCUGUCGGAUUCACCAUCUGGGAUUAGCUAGUAGGUAAGGUAAUGGCUUACCUCGGCGACGAGCCCUAGCUGUGCUGAGAGGAUGAUCAGCCACACUGGAACUGUGACACGGCCAAGACUCCUACGGAGGCAGCAUUGGUGAAUAUUGCCCAAUGGGCGCAAGCCUGAUGCAGCCAUGCCGCGUGUGUUAAGAAGGCCCUAGGGUUGUAAAGUACGUUCAGUCGGGAUGCGUUACCGACAGAAGAAGCACCGGCUAACUCCGUGCCAGCAGCCGCGGUAAUUC